GGAUGUGAGGGCGAUCUGGCUGCGACAUCUGUCACCCCAUUGAUCGCCAGGGUUGAUUCGGCUGAUCUGGCUGGCUAGGCGGGUGUCCCCUUCCUCCCUCACCGCUCCAUGUGCGUCCCUCCCGAAGCUGCGCGCUCGGUCGAAGAGGACGACCUUCCCCGAUAGAGGAGGACCGUUCUUCGGUCAAGGGUAUACGAGUAGCUGCGCUCCCCUGCUAGAACCUCCAAACAAGCUCUCAAAAAACUACAAAUUAGAGUAAAAUGUAUAUGCAUUUGUGUAUUUUUAAACUGCUUUGCAU
rnacentral:snRNA from 1 species